AUACGUAGGGGGCGAGCGUUGUCCGGAAUGAUUGGGCGUAAAGGGCGCGUAGGCGGCCCGGUAAGUCUGGAGUGAAAGUCCUGUUUUUAAGAUGGGAAUUGCUUUGGAUACUGUCGGGCUUAAGUGCAGGAGAGGUAAGUGGAAUUCCCAGUGUAGCGGUGAAAUGCGUAGAGAUUGGGAGGAACACCAGUGGCGAAGGCGACUUACUGGACUGUAACUGACGCUGAGGCGCGAAAGUGUGGGGAGCAAACAGGAUUAGAUACCCUGGUAGUCCACUCUGUAAACGAUGAAUGCUAGGUGUAGGGGGUAUCGACCCCUUCUGUGCCGCAGUCAACACAAUAAGCAUUCCGCCUGGGGAGUACGGCCGCAAGGUUGAAACUCAAAUGAAUUGACGGGG
rnacentral:rRNA from 1 species